rnacentral:rRNA from 1 species
AUUGAACGCUGGCGGCAGGCCUAACACAUGCAAGUCGAGCGGAUGAAGGGAGCUUGCUCCUGGAUUCAGCGGCGGACGGGUGAGUAAUGCCUAGGAAUCUGCCUUGUAGUGGGGGAUAACGUCCGGAAACGGGCGCUAAUACCGCAUACGUCCUGAGGGUGAAAGUGGGGGAUCUUCGGACCUCACGCGACCAGCUGAGCCUAGGUCGGAUUAGCUAGUUGGUAGGGUAAAGGCCUACCAAGGCGACGAUCCGUAACUGGUCUGAGAGGAUGAUCAGUCACACUGGAACUGAGACACGGUCCAGACUCCUACGGGAGGCAGCAGUAGGGAAUCUUGCGCAAUGGGCGAAAGCCUGACCCAGCCAUGCCGCGUGUGUGAAGAAGGUCUUCGGAUUGUAAAGCACUUUUAGUUGGGAAGAAGGGCAGUAAGUUUAUACCUUGCUGUUUUGACGUUACCAACAGAGUAAGCACCGGCUAACUUCGUG